ACUCCUACGGGAGGCAGCAGUGGGGAAUAUUGCACAAUGGGCGCAAGCCUGAUGCAGCCAUGCCGCGUGUGUGAAGAAGGCCUUCGGGUUGUAAAGCACUUUCAGUCGUGAGGAAGGUAGUGUAGUUAAUAGCUGCAUUAUUUGACGUUAGCGACAGAAGAAGCACCGGCUAACUCCGUGCCAGCAGCCGCGGUAAUACGGAGGGUGCGAGCGUUAAUCGGAAUUACUGGGCGUAAAGCGCAUGCAGGUGGUUCGUUAAGUCAGAUGUGAAAGCCCGGGGCUCAACCUCGGAAUUGCAUUUGAAACUGGCGGACUAGAGUACUGUAGAGGGGGGUAGAAUUUCAGGUGUAGCGGUGAAAUGCGUAGAGAUCUGAAGGAAUACCGGUGGCGAAGGCGGCCCCCUGGACAGAUACUGACACUCAGAUGCGAAAGCGUGGGGAGCAAACAGGAUUAGAUACCCUGGUAGGAUAGCG
rnacentral:rRNA from 1 species